rnacentral:rRNA from 1 species
AGAAUGAACGCUAGCGAUAUGCUUAACACAUGCAAGUUGAACGUUGUUUUCGAAUCAAAAUGAAAACAAAGUAGCGAACGGGUGCGUAACACGUAGGAAUCUGCCAAACAGUUUGGGCCAAAUCCCAAAUGAAUAAAAGCUAAAAAGCGCUGUUUGAUGAGCCCACGUAGUAUUAGGUAGUUGGUUAGGUAAAAGCUGACCAAGCCUACGAUGCUUAGCUGGUCUUUUCGGAUGAUCAGCCACACUGGGACUGAGACACGGCCCAGACUCCUACGGGAGGCAGCAGUGGGGAAUCUUGGACAAUGGGCGAAAGCCUGAUCCGGCAAUAUGGCGUGAGUGAAGAAGGGCAACGCAGCUUGUAAAGCUCUUUCAUCGAGUGUGCGAUUGUGACAAGACUCGAAUAAGAAGCCCCGGCUAACUCCGUGCCAGCAGCCGC